UACGUACCGGACAAACGUUAUUCGGAAUUACUGGGCUUAAAGAGUGCGUAGGCGGCCUUGAAGGUGGGGUGUGAAAGCCCACGGCCCAACCGUGGAAUGGCGCUCCAAACCGCAAGGCUUGAGGAAGACAGAGGUGAGCGGAACUGAUGGUGGAGCGGUGAAAUGCGUUGAUAUCAUCAGGAACACCCGUGGCGAAGGCGGCUCACUGGGUCUUAUCUGACGCUGAGGCACGAAAGCUAGGGGAGCGAACGGG
rnacentral:rRNA from 1 species